rnacentral:rRNA from 1 species
UUCCGGUUGAUCCUGCCGGACCUGACUGCUAUCGGAUUGAUACUAAGCCAUGCGAGUCAUUGUAGCAAUACAAGGCAGACGGCUCAGUAACGCGUAGUCAACCUAACCUAUGGACGGGAAUAACCUCGGGAAACUGAGAAUAAUGCCCGAUAGAACACUAUGCCUGGAAUGGUUUGUGUUCCAAAUGAUUUAUCGCCGUAGGAUGGGACUGCGGCCUAUCAGUUUGUUGGUGAGGUAAUGGCCCACCAAGACUAUUACAGGUACGGGCUCUGAGAGGAGUAGCCCGGAGAUGGGUACUGAGACACGGACCCAGGCCCUAUGGGGCGCAGCAGGCGAGAAAACUUUGCAAUGUGCGAAAGCACGACAAGGUUAAUCCGAGUGAUUUGUGCUAAACGAAUCUUUUGUUAGUCCUAGAAACACUAACGAAUAAGGGGUGGGCAAGUUCUGGUGUCAGCCGCCGCGGUAAAACCAGCACCUCAAGUGGUCAGGAUGAUUAUUGGGCCUAAAGCAUCCGUAGCCGGCUCUGUAAGUUUUCGGUUAAAUCUGUGCGCUCAACGUACAGGCUGCCGGGAAUACUGCAGAGCUAGGGAGUGGGAGAGGUAGACGGUACUCGGUAGGAAGGGGUAAAAUCCUUUGAUCUAUUGAUGACCACCUGUGGCGAAGGCGGUCUACCAGAACACGUCCGACGGUGAGGGAUGAAAGCUGGGGGAGCAAACCGGAUUAGAUACCCGGGUAGUCCCAGCUGUAAACUAUGCAAACUCAGUGAUGCAUUGGCUUGUGGGCAAUGCAGUGCUGCAGGGA